rnacentral:rRNA from 1 species
AGAUUGAACGCUGGCGGCAUGCUUUACACAUGCAAGUCGAACGGUAACAGGCCGCAAGGUGCUGACGAGUGGCGAACGGGUGAGUAAUGCAUCGGAACGUGCCCAGUCGUGGGGGAUAACGCAGCGAAAGCUGUGCUAAUACCGCAUAAGAUCUACGGAUGAAAGCAGGGGAUCGCAAGACCUUGCGCGAAUGGAGCGGCCGAUGGCAGAUUAGGUAGUUGGUGAGGUAAAGGCUCACCAAGCCUUCGAUCUGUAGCUGGUCUGAGAGGACGACCAGCCACACUGGGACUGAGACACGGCCCAGACUCCUACGGGAGGCAGCAGUGGGGAAUUUUGGACAAGUGGGCGAAAG